GCGUGGAUGGCGGAAUUGGUAGACGCGCCAGGUUGAGGGCCUGGUGAGGGUUAACUUCGUGGGGGUUCGACUCCCCCUCCGCGCA
rnacentral:tRNA from 1 species